GAAGAACCGUUACCAGGCCUUGACAUGCAGAGAACUUUCCAGAGAUGGAUUGGUGCCUUCGGGAACUCUGACACAGGUGCUGCAUGGCUGUCGUCAGCUCGUGUCGUGAGAUGUUGGGUUAAGUCCCGCAACGAGCGCAACCCUUGCCUUUAGUUGCCAGCAGUUCGGCUGGGCACUCUAAAGGGACUGCCGGUGUUAAACCGGAGGAAGGUGGGGAUGACGUCAAGUCCUCAUGGCCUUUAUGACCAGGGCUACACACGUACUACAAUGGCCGAUACAAAGGGCAGCGACACUGCGAGGUGAAGCCAAUCCCGUAAAAUCGGUCUCAGUCCGGAUUGGAGUCUGCAACUCGACUCCAUGAAGUUGGAAUCGCUAGUAAUCGUGGAUCAGCAUGCCACGGUGAAUACGUUCCCGGGCCUU
rnacentral:rRNA from 1 species